rnacentral:rRNA from 1 species
CGGCGAAGUCGACUUCCGCAAGGACACUCGUAGAGGUGCUGCAUGGCUGUCGUCAGCUCGUGUCGUGAGAUGUUGGGUUAAGUCCCGCAACGAGCGCAACCCUUGUUUGCUGUUGCCAUCACGUGAUGGUGGGCACUCUGCAAAGACUGCCGGUGAUAAACCGGAGGAAGGUGGGGAUGACGUCAAGUCAGCAUGGCCUUUAUGUCUGGGGCUACACACGUGCUACAAUGGCCGAUACAAACCGUCGCGAUACCGCAAGGUGGAGCUAAUCGGAGAAAGUCGGUCUCAGUUCGGAUAGCAGGCUGCAACUCGCCUGCUUGAAGUUGGAAUCGCUAGUAAUCGCGGAUCAGCACGCCGCGGUGAAUACGUUCCCGGGCCUUGUACACACCGCCCGUCACAUCACGAAAGCCGGUUGUACUAGAAGUCGCCACACCAACCCGCAAGGGAGGGAGGUGCCUAAGGUAUGGCCGGUGAUUGGGGUGAAGUCGUAACAAGGUAACCGU